rnacentral:sRNA from 1 species
UAAUGUUGCUUGUUUAAAUUGUUGUGA